rnacentral:snRNA from 1 species
AUACUUAACCAGCAGGGGAGAUCACCACGACUAAGAAAAUGAUUUCCCAGGGGCAAGCCUCUUUCAUUGCACUUGGGAUUUCCCCAAUUGGGGGAAACUCCACUCCAUACUUUGUGACAUGUGGUGGACUGUAUACAUGCUUUUCCCUG